rnacentral:rRNA from 1 species
GACGAACGCUGGCGGCGUGCCUAACACAUGCAAGUCGAGCGAAUGAAGUUCCUUCGGGAAUGGAUUUAGCGGCGGACGGGUGAGUAACACGUGGGCAACCUGCCUCAUAGAGGGGAAUAGCCUUCCGAAAGGGAGAUUAAUACCGCAUAAGAUCGUAGUAUCGCAUGGUACAGCAAUUAAAGGAGCAAUCAGCUAUGAGAUGGGCUCGCGGCGCAUUAGCUAGUUGGUGAGGUAACGGCGCACCAAGGCGACGAUGCGUAGCCGACCUGAGAGGGUGAUCGGCCACAUUGGGACUGAGACACGGCCCAGACUCCUACGGGAGGCAGCAGUGGGGAAUAUUGCACAAUGGGGGAAACCCUGAUGCAGCAACGCCGCGUGAGUGAUGACGGCCUUCGGGUUGUAAAGCUCUGUCUUCAGGGACGAUAAUGACGGUACCUGAGGAGGAAGCCACGGCUAACUACGUGCCAGCAGCCGCCGUAACAC